GACGAAUGCUGGCGGCGUGCUUAACACAUGCAAGUCGAACGGUGAAGCGCCUUCCUUUUUGGUGGGUGUGGAUGAGUGGCGAACGGGUGAGUAACACGUGAGUAACCUGCCCCCUUCUUCUGGAUAACCGCAUGAAAGUGUGGCUAAUACGGGAUAUUCUGGGUCUGUCGCAUGAUGGGUCUGGGAAAGAUAUUGUUUCGGUGGGGGAUGGGCUCGCGGCCUAUCAGCUUGUUGGUGGGGUGAUGGCCUACCAAGGCGGUGACGGGUAGCCGGCCUGAGAGGGUGGACGGUCACACUGGGACUGAGACACGGACCAGACUCCUACGGGAGGCAGCAGUGGGGAAUAUUGCACAAUGGGCGCAAGCCUGAUGCAGCGACGCCGCGUGAGGGAUGGAGGCCUUCGGGUUGUGAACCUCUUUCGCCAGUGAAGCAGGCCUGCCUCGUUUGUGGGUGGGUUGACGGUAGCUGGACAAGAAGCGCCGGCUAACUACGUG
rnacentral:rRNA from 1 species